AGGGAAAACUAAGACAUGACUAUUGACUCGAAGACCAGCAACAGAAGUCCACCAAGUGAGGAGCCCCCAUACCAUCUGGGCUGGUCCCAUACUUGAGGGGAUCCUGAGGAAUGCUCCAGUAAACUGCUAGACGUUAUUUCCUUAAAGCUUCAAGAGGAAACUAAAAUUAAAAUUAAUGGUAAACCUUGCCAAAUUCUCGUAGAUACCAGGGCUAUACUCCCUACUUUCAACCUCACUCGCUCUGGAGACAGCAGAUGGGAUCCUGGGGAAACUGGCAGAAGCCAGCAAAGGAUGAGAAUUCACACCAGAGUCAGCUAUUCUGGAUCUCUGUACUGUCCAGUAGAGAGAAGGAGGCCUUCUUCCUGAGCUAAACGAAACCAUGUACCCAGGGGGAAAGAAAAACAUUCCAAAGACAAACAGCUCUAAAUCUAGAACAGAGGAACUACCAACCAAAUGAUCUCCCUAAGACAGAAAAGGAACAACAGGAAUGACUGACUUGGAGAAUGUGAACUGGACAUCAUGACCUGUGAACAGCACACAGAUAUUCAGCAAAAAUUGUGAGAACUCACGAGCAGUAGCUGGGAGGAGCUGUGCUCUGCGAUUAUAAAGGUUCAAUGCAUUGAACAUACAGCAUCACAGACACAGGAGGAACCCCAAGGAUGUCCAUCAGUCCAGGACCUUUGUCUUCCGGGAGAGAACACCUACUUCAGGGACAGGGGAUAGACUUAACCAGGUCAAACAGCAAGAGUGGCACCAGCCACACCUGCCACCUCUCCAGUACGCAACCAUUGUGUAGCAGGAUUCUGCCACAGAGAGUCAUGACACGGAGGCUUUUCUUUCCAAAUUUAUUCCUGCUGACACCGCUCCGCUGGGUUCUUAGCCAAAGAACUGAGCCCCGAACGCCACGUGGCCUAGUUUUUUAAUGUAUUUUUUUCCUUCUUUGUCUCCCAUAUAC